UGCGUAGGCGGAAUAUUAAGUCAGUGGCGAAAUCCUGCGGCUCAACCGUAGAACUGCCAUUGAUACUGAUAUUCUUGAAUGUAGUUGAGGUAGGCGGAAUGUGUAAUGUAGCGGUGAAAUGCUUAGAUAUUACACAGAACACCGAUUGCGAAGGCAGCUUACUAAACUAUGAUUGACGCUGAGGCACGAAAGCGUGGGGAGCGAACAGGAUUAGAUACCCGAGUAGUCC
rnacentral:rRNA from 1 species